UAACUCGUGGAAACGCGAGCUAAUACCGAUAAAAAGUUUAGUUCGCAUGAACAGACGAUGAAAGACGGCUUUUGCUGUCACUUACAGAUGGGCCCGCGUCGCAUUAGCUAGUUGGUGGGGUAAAAGCUCACCAAAGCAACGAUGACGUAGCCGACCUGAGAGGGUGAUCGGCCACACUGGGACUGAGACACGGCCCAGACUCCUACGGGAGGCAGCAGUAGGGAAUCUUCCGCAAUGGACGAAAGUCUGACGGAGCGACGCCGCCGUGAGUGAUGAAGGUCUUCGGAUCGUAAAACUCUGUUGUCGGGGAAGAACAAGUAUCGGCCUAAUACGCCGGUACCUUGACGGUACCUGAUUAGAAAGCCCCGGCUAACUACGUGCCAGCAGCGGC
rnacentral:rRNA from 1 species